rnacentral:rRNA from 1 species
GACAGAGGCCUCAAGCGUUAGGCGGAAUCACUGGGCUUAAAGCGUGUGUAGGCGGAUCGUUAAGUGCCUUGUGAAAUCCCACGGCUUAACUGUGGAACGGCUGGGCAUACUGGCGGUCUUGAGCCAUCUAGGGGCGACUGGAACAAACGGUGGAGCGGUGAAAUGCGUAGAUAUCGUUUGGAACGCCAAUGGUGAAAACAGGUCGCUGGGGACGCGC